UGGCUCAGUUGGUAAAGAAUCUGCCUGCUAUGCAGGAUACCCAGGUUCGAUCCCUGG
rnacentral:tRNA from 1 species